rnacentral:tmRNA from 1 species
GGGGGCGACCUGGUUUCGACGUGGUCGGUUCUCCGGCAGAGCUGCAAGCCGAGGUCCCCGGUCGGCCUCGUUAAUCAACCGGGAAACAACGUAAGUGCGGAUCGUGAACUCGCACUCGCUGCCUAAUCUCUAGAGACUAGGUACAGCGCGUCGCUCCGGGUCGGGCCCGUGACCCGGGGAGCGGCGUCAACCAACGGGCUCGGCGCCAAGGGAGAGCCAAUCGCCUGCGGCGCGACACCGAAGGAUGGCUAGCCCGGCGGUUGGUCGGCUGUCCACCGGCCGGCGGGCGAAAACGAAGGGCAGCCUAAGCUUGUAGACGUUCUGUCCGGUGCGUCCGCGGACGCGGGUUCGAUUCCCGCCGCCUCCAUCA